UUGACCAGUGAACACCCAAGUGUGCAUUCUGCUUGCCUUGGUUUUAACUCUGUGCUAGCAUAAUGUCUAAUUCUUUACCUCCACAUUGAAAGGAAUCACCAUUUUAGUGUUUUCAAAAGUCAGCACAUUA
rnacentral:snoRNA from 1 species